AUGCUCACAUCAGCAGCACAUAUACUAAAAUGGGGAGGAUACAGAGAAGAUUAGCAUGGUCCCUGCAAAGGAUGGCACGUAUGUGAAGCAUUCCAUGUUUUU
ensembl:snRNA U6 U6 spliceosomal RNA